rnacentral:tmRNA from 1 species
ACUCGUUGGACCUGGGGGCGGUACACGGCGCCUCCACCAAAAUAUAAAAAGAAAAUUAUAUUUUGGUGGGGGCGAAAUAGGAUCGACAAGAGCGUAAAGAUUGCUCUUUUACUCGGCAUAGUACCACCGUUAUCGGACUAAAUGAGUAGUUGCAAAUGACAACUAGGCGGAAGCACGUCUCGCUUCUUGAUGCAGUGCGAAUGUGUCAAUUUAAGUCGUAAACCGUCGAAGGUUUAAGCGGGGUUCGGAGG